UAAAAAGUUAGAGUGACAAUCAAAACGAAAAGACCCAUUACGUGACUUGCGCAGUAAAACAAGUUACGUUGGUCGAGUCUAUUCAUAGCUCUCGGGGGAUGGAAAUAUAAGGCAGUAGCGCAGUUAAUUUGUCUUACUUUUGUACUGUCUUCGAAUGUGUGGUGCCAUAGUCUUGUGUCUCUUGUUUUUUGAAGUUAUUAUUAUUUAUUUUGCCACUUUGUACAAUACGCGAACUAAAUGACCGUUGGGGGCGCCACUGUUAACUGCAACAUGGCCGCUCUAAGGCAUAUUUGACGUAUCCUUUAUGAUACAAAUCCAUUAACAGGACAAAAAUAAAUACAAUUCAGACUUUACAAUUAAAAUUAAAAUAAAAUAAAAUAUAAAGAUAAUGAGAACACUCCAUCACUUCUUCUGAAAAAAUAUGUCCGCAUAAUGAUCAUUGGCAUUUUUACACAAUCGACAGAGUGGUGAAUUUUUCAGAAUAUUAGUUCGCGAGGUUGGAAAACUAAAUGUCACUGAAUGACGAGCAUUUCUUCUCGGUACCUGGAAGUUAACUUCAGACAAAAUAUUGGGACAAUCUACCUGAUCAUGGAUUAUUUUCCACAUAAAGUGAGCACUCUGCAAAUUUCUUCUUGAUGUCAAGGACUGCAUGUUGUGUUGCUGAAGUAAAGUUUCAUAAUGAACAUUCCUUGCUGGGUAUACACCUGUAGUUUUAAAUGAUAGAAAUUUGAGAAAACGACGCUGGACACGUUCAAUAAGUAGUUGAUAAGUAAGAUAACACGGAGACCACACAAUCGAGACAUAUUCUAGCUUACUACGGACAAAGGAAGAAUAUAGUGACUUAAGCAGGUCUGUAUUUUUGAAAUACGUGGCGGAACGCAUUACAAAUCCCAAACUUUUGGAUGCAGAUGAGGUUAUAGCUAUAAUAUGUUGAGAGAAACUGAGCCGAUGAUCAAAUAUAACCCCCAAAUCUCUGAUGGUAUCAGUUUUGACUAAAAAUUGACCAUUUAUGUAGUAAAUAGAAGGUAUAACGCUGUUAUUACGACAAAAAGAAACAUAGAAGCACUUGUUAGUGUUUAAUUUUAAGUGAUUAUCAGAGCACCAUUGUACAAUAAGAUUAAUAUUAUUCUGGAGAUGGUCAACAUCAUUAGCUGACGAGACAGGAGAAAAAAGUUUUACAUCAUCUGCAAAGCCAAGGAUAGAGCAAGACGUGGACAUUAAGAGAUCAUUAAUGAAUAACAGGAACAGCAGGGGUCCAAGAUUGGAACCUUGUGGUACGCCAGAAGUGGACAUGUAAUCAAAUGAUUUAUAACCAUUGUAAUAGACAUAGUUGAGCCUGUUGAUUAAAUACGAACGUAACAAUGCAAGGAAUGAUGAACCAACACCGAACAUAUCAAGCUUGUUUAGCAAAAUUGAGUGAUCCACUGAAUCAAAAGCACUUGAGAGAUCGGUAUACACCACGUCCACCUGGCCACGCUGAUCCAAAACUUUACAAACAAAUUGAGUGAAGACACUUAGAUUAGUCUGUGCAGAUCUUCCAGGAACAAACCCAUGCUGAUUCGUUGAGUAAGUGUCCUUAAGUGUCCAUCGUGUGAAAAAAGUGUGUUGUGUUAAUAAAUCGAGCGUUUUUGUAGUGGAUUUGUUCAGUUUACAGCCUGUUUCGUUGUUUGUGUCAGUUUUUUUUGUAGUUCUCAUUUUAUUAACCCUUUGUUUAACUUUUUAAGUGAACACAUGUUAAAUCAUGUGGUGUUAAAAAACUUCUGUGAAAACUUUAUUAAUUAUAGCGAUUAUUGUUUUUUAAAUUAAGUGUUCAUUUCAUACUAUGUAUGAGUGGAAUAAUGCAUAAUAAUAAAAUAAUAAAGCAUGAAUAAUA